UCUCAUUACGAUGAAGAACACCGAAAUCAGCGAAACGCAUAGGCAGAUCCUUAUAUGACCGAUUUUCGUGUCUGAACA
rnacentral:rRNA from 15 species